ensembl:lncRNA
CAGGGAUGAAGAGAAGAUGGCUACUGGAUGUUCUCUGGACUGGAUCCUGUAUCAGCAGCAGCAGUGGAAGAUCCAUUUUAGAUCUGGCUAUCAUCAAUAUCAUUUAUUAAUAUCAGAAUACAGACCUUUAGACUAAUGUGAGGAGUGUUGUCCAGUGUUCCUCAGCCCCUUCUGGACAGGUACAUAAUGGGACACUUCACGUUUCCUCAGUCCCUUCUGGACAGGUACAUAAUGGGACACUUCACGUUUCCUCAGUCCCUUCUAGACAGGUACAUAAUGGGACACUUCACGUUUCCUCAGUCCCUUCUGGACAGGUACAUAAUGGGACAGUUCACGUUUCCUCAGCCCCUUCUGGACAGGUACAUAAUGGGACAGUCCACUUUUCAUCACAUCCCCCAUGGAAAGUUACAGUCCACUUUAACCACCAACACCCCUUGCCUCCAUAACGUACAUGGGACAGUCUCACAUUUCUUCUAGAAUAAGACAUGACAGUCAUCCACUCCAGUUCACCCAAUGGGAUUCCAACAGAAUGACUUAUUCUACUGCACAUGUCUAAAGCACUGCCU